ACAACAAAGGCAGGCGAUAUUAACAAUAAACAAAAAUCAGCUCACUUGAUUCUUACUAGUUCGAACUAGGUAAUCUUCAUCAAGAAUCUCUAAGCUGCAGUGAACAAGAACAAAUUCCAUCAAGAAUUUCUAAGCUGCAGUGAACAAGAAACAAAAAGCUGAAUGAAGAAGAACAAAUUUCAUCAAGAAUUUCUAAGCAAAGCUAGAUCGAACUGGGUAAUUUUCUUACUGAUCUGUUUUCUAAGUUCCACUACAGAUCAAUGAUAGAUCUCCUCUCAAGAGUUGAACGGAUUCAACUACAAAUUGCCUAAGUUUUCAUCUCAAGCUCUAAUUCGCUGCAGUGAUUUGAUAUAUGGAGUAUUUCUUAGAGCAAAUAAGGUCUUUAAUCUUUCAAGAGUAUAACAACUCAUGGACUGCAUCUCAU
rnacentral:lncRNA from 1 species